AAGGAUAGGGAAGGUAAGGGAAAGAAAGGGAAAGGAUGGGAAAGGAAGGGAAGGUAAGGGAAAGGAUAGGGAAGGUAAGGGAAAGAAAGGGAAAGGAUGGGAAAGGAAGGGAAAGGAAGGGAAGGUAAGGGAAAGGAAGGGAAAGGAUGGGAAGGUAAGGUAAGGUAAGGUAAGGAUCGGGAUAGGGUAAAAUAUAUAUCCAUUUACCUGUACAUGAGGGCGCAGGUAAACAACACACAAAAAAAAGAAAAAAAAAUCGCUUAUCGUAGAACAUAAACACCACCAGGUCAAACGGGGUUGCCAAGGAGUGGAAAAAAAACAGAAAAAACCCACAUUCGUAAUCAUAGAGAGACAGACAGACACGACCUACUCUUUCUGAGGCCGAGCAAGGAACGAUGGCAUGGCUUUCGACACCUUAAAAUCCUAUAGAAAAAAAAUGAUAUAGAUACAAUAAUUAGAGAUAGAUUCGACCUCGCUGAAGUUUCCGGAUUCUGCCGCUAGAGGGAGACACUGGUAAGGGUUCUGAUAGCCUAGUCAAGAGGGUUGGGUCAAGGGAGUGGGAUUGGAUUCCUUUCGUUUGGGGUUUUGGUUGAUGGGUUGAGUGGGUUGUUUUUUCCUUGAGGGUUUUGAUAGCUUAGUAAAGAGGGUUGGAUUGUAUGGUAAUGGGGUUGGAUUCCUUUUGUUCUUCUUCUUCUUCUUCUUCUAGUCUAAAUAAAUACCAACUUUUGAUAGCUGGUAAAUAUAUAUUCAACUAAUCUUUUGACCAGAGAGAGAAAGAAAGGGAGACUGACAUUUUGCAGUCACUUAAUUCCCCAACUGUCUCUUAGUAAACUCUUUGUAAACUAAGUAAACUGUUCAUAAGGGCUUUGUAGACUUGGCAAACUUCUCGUAAACUCUUCGUAAACUUAGUAACUUCUUUGUAAACUUCGUAACCUCUUUGUAAACUGUUCGUAAACUUGGUAAACUCUUAAUAAAGUCUCGGUAAACUUAGUAGCUUCUCUGUAAACUCUUCCUAACCACUUGGCAAACUGUUCGUAAACUUGGUAAACUCAGUGUUGGGGUCCCAGUAAACUUAGUAAAGCCUUCAAAAACCCUCGGCGAACUUCUGUAACUUCCUCCGUAAACUGCUCGCAAACUUCGUCACUUCUUCGUAAACUUAAUAAUCUCCUUGUAAACUCUUCAUUAGCUCUUCGUAAAGUUAGCAAGCUCUUCGUGGACACUCGGUAUAAGCUCUUCACAAACUUCGCAAACUCAGCAACCUCUCCGUAAACUCAACAACCUCAUCGCAAACUCAACACCCUCAUCGCAAACUCAACACCCUGAUCGCAAACUCAACAACCUGAUCGCAAACUCAACAACCUGAUCGCAAACUCAACACCCUCAUCGCAAACUCAACAACCUGAUCGCAUACUCAACAACCUCAUCGCAAACUUAACAACCACAUCGCAAACUGCCCCACGCUGCCUCCCUUGAACCCUCACACCAACUAUCUGACCUCUAGUGGCGGGAACGGAAACUCUGGCAGGAGGUCCGUCAAGGAGGUAAGACUAGCGGCAAAAUAAGUUAUAAAUACGACGAAUGAAAGAGCGUCGUGUGCAAGCGGUUGCCCAUAUUCCAUUUUCUUUCUAAUUUGGUCCCACCGGAAAACACACUUGAAAAUAAUAGUAAUUAGUAAUAGUAAUAAAUAGUAAUAAUAAUAGCUGUAAUAAGUUAGGAUAAACGCACACACACACACACACACACACACACACACACACACACACACACACACACACACACAAUACGUACAUGGCUUUAUGAGUACAUGAGAAAUUACGUACACACGGUUCAGAAAAUACGUACACACACAUACACAUUCACAUACACACGCUCAUAUAUUCCUAUAAGUACAUGGCUUUAUGCGUACAUGAGAAAUUACGUACACAGAUUUGCGUACACAUGGUUCACAAAAUACGUACAUACACACACUAUAGAGCAUGUGUGGGUUUUGAGUGCACACAUACACACACACAAACACACAUUCCUAUACGUACAUGAUCAUACGUACAUGACUUUAUGCGUACAUGGGAAAUUAACGUACACAGAUUUGCGUACCCACAAUUCAGAAAGUACACACGGUUCAUAAAAUACACACACACAUACAUACGCUCAUAUAUUCCUAUACAUACACACACGCACACAAACUAGAGCAUGUGUAGGUUUUGAGUGCAUAAGUAUACACACACACACACACACACACACACACACACACACACACACAUUCGCGUACACAGACUUACAUGCGUGUGCGUUUAGAAAAAGUAGACACAGACGAACCCUGAGGACCGAUCUUUACCCUUCUCAUCACCAUUAUCAUCACCAUCACCUCCGUCAUCACCACGAGGGUACGAGUGGUGAUGACGGGGAGGUGAUGACAACAGCGGGCGUGGAGGUGGUGGGUCACUACUUAAGUCAUCACCAUAAUGGGAACAGAGACUGGUGGUGAUGAAUAGUGGUGUUGUGGAGUGGGUUCUGUCAUCACCACCACCACCAGAGUGAAUAUAGAAGCUGGUGGUGAUGAAAUGGUGAUGAAGACUCAAUUUUGUCAUCACCAUCAACACCAAAACGGGUAUAGAGACUGGUGGUGAUGAAAUGUGGUGUUGUGGAGUGGGUUUUGUCAUCACCACCACUAGAGCGAAGAUUUAGAUUGGUGAUGACAUGGUGAUGACCUGGUAUAACACUCCUUCCAAUCAUCACCACCACCAGAGCGAAGAUUUAGAUUGGUGAUGACAUGGUGAUGACCUGGUAUAACACUCCUUCCAGUCAUCACCACCACCAGAACGAAGAUUUUGAUUGGUGAUGACAUGGUGAUGACCUGGUACAACACUCCUUCCAGUCAUCACCACCACUAGAGCGAAGAUUUAAAUUGGUGAUGACAUGGUGAUGACCUGGUAUAACACUCCUUCCAAUCAUCACCACCACCAGAACGAAGAUUUUGAUUGGUGAUGACAUGGUGGUGAUGGCAGUGGUGGUGAACUCGUGGUGAUGAGCUGGGAUAACACUCCUUCCAAUCAUCAUCACCACCAGAACGAAGAUUAGGCGUGGUGAUGACAUGGUGAUGAGAGUGGUGAUGAGGGUGGUGGUGAAUCUACUCGUCCUUGAGGCGUUUGUAGAGGGACUGGACAUAAGUGAAUACACAUUUCCAGUCUGGCUUCUUCAUCACCACCAUAUCCUCCACAUCCAACAGGGGCAUGACGCCGGCUUUCUC